rnacentral:lncRNA from 1 species
CUCUGCCCUUUCUUUUUCCUUCCCUCCCAUUAGUUCUGUUCCUUAAACAGUAUAACUUGUUCUAAUUUUGUGAUACUUAAAAAUCAUAACAAAAUGUACUUCAUAUUCAUACUUGCAUAGGAGAUAUCUUAAUGGAUAAAAGCAAAGUAUAAUUCAAAAUAAAUUUUAGAACUAUUUGUUGCUAAUGUAAAUCAUUUUAUAGUUCUCUAACAUGUGAAUAUAUCAAAAUAUGAUAUAACAAAAAUUAAGUCUAAGGCAAUCUUCUGGGGGUUGUGUAUUUUGGCAAGCAGCAAGUUAAUGUGGAGUUUGUGUAUUUACAGCAUCAGAACUGAGUCUCAAUAGGGCAUUCAGAAAGUCCUUCAAAUGGAGCCUCAAUCAAGAAAAUUACAACACAGGGACAACAGCACUUUCUCCACAGACAACUGCACUUUCCCACUCAAGUAUGCUUUAACGGAUGGAGAACAUGGUGUUCAGCUCUCCCUAUUUGUGCAGUGAUACACUUUUGCACGUCUCAGCUCUGGCUUCCUAGCUUCAAGUGAGAGCCCUGUGCCCCUCAUGUGUCUCCUGCCCCCGACGCAGCCCAUUAGUGUGGGGCUGGGCUUCCUUCCCUGCACUCCAAAGAACUCAGCCGCAGGUCAGGCACUGACUGAGCAUCACAGGUCUAGAAAUUAAUGAAUUCAGGCACACAGAGAACCACUGUGGUUCCCUGGUGUCCCUGUUAUUAACAAUUCACUUAGGAGCCUAGUCACCACGUACUGUCCUCUGAUACUUCAUUCAAAUUAUUUUUCCUCAGCCCUGUUUCUUCUAAAGUUUGAGCCAACCUUUUAGAUAGCAUUCACCAAAUUCCCUCUUCCUAACACUUUUAAGCUUACACUUCAAGUAUAUUUCUGUGACGCAGGAUUGAAGCUUAGAAAAACAUGUUUCUUAGUGAAUCCAUAAAAUGAAAUGCUAUUGUCUGUACUGUAGUAAAUAGAACACACACACAGAUUUCAGGAGUGGAAAAAGACAGGCAUGAAACAAAAGAACAAUCUAUAAAAAUUGUUGUCUAAAGUAACUGGAUUGUAGAGCAGAGAAAACAAUGGGUAGAGGAGGGUGUCAGACCUUGGCCUGAAAGAUCUGCAAGAAGCCAGCAAGGUUAGGCUGAGGGAGGGAGGUAGCAGACAGCCAGCUCCCACAGGGACUUUUGGUUACAUUUCAGGAACUGGAAUCUUUUGAAGGGUUUUAAGCAGAGAAUAAGACAAAAGGUUUGUGUUUUGUUUUUUAACAUAAUAUUUUUAGUUAUUUGAGAAUUUCACAUCAUAACUCUGAUCAAAGAAGAAACACAAGUAUAAUUUGUGAUGCCCCUAUACUCACUGGAACUUGGUCAAACCCCCAGUGGUCAGGCUCUUAAAGAUAACUGAGUUCAUUGUUUCAGAGUCAAUACCAUAAGCCCCAAUUCCUAAGCCUCCUUGACCACCAAUGCCAGACUUUCUCCAAGCUAUGAGACAAUCAAAGA